GCGAACGGGUGAGUAACACGUGGGCAAUCUGCCCUUCACUCUGGGACAAGCCCUGGAAACGGGGUCUAAUACCGGAUAACACUCUCCUCCUCCUGGGGGUGGGUUAAAAGCUCCGGCGGUGAAGGAUGAGCCCGCGGCCUAUCAGCUUGUUGGUGGGGUAAUGGCCUACCAAGGCGACGACGGGUAGCCGGCCUGAGAGGGCGACCGGCCACACUGGGACUGAGACACGGCCCAGACUCCUACGGGAGGCAGCAGUGGGGAAUAUUGCACAAUGGGCGAAAGCCUGAUGCAGCGACGCCGCGUGAGGGAUGACGGCCUUCGGGUUGUAAACCUCUUUCAGCAGGGAAGAAGCGCAAGUGACGGUACCUGCAGAAGAAGCACCGGCUAACUACGUGCCAGCAGCCGCGGUAAUACGUAGGGUGCGAGCGUUGUCCGGAAUUAUUGGGCGUAAAGAGCUCGUAGGCGGUCUGUCACGUCGGAUGUGAAAGCCCGGGGCUUAACCCCGGGUCUGCAUUCGAUACGGGCAGACUAGAGUGUGGUAGGGGAGAUCGGAAUUCCUGGUGUAGCGGUGAAAUGCGCAGAUAUCAGGAGGAACACCGGUGGCGAAGGCGGAUCUCUGGGCCAUUACUGACGCUGAGGAGCGAAAGCGUGGGGAGCGAACAGGAUUAGAUACCCUGGUAGUCCA
rnacentral:rRNA from 3 species